GCCAGGUUGGUGCAGUGGUAGCACGUCUUUGCCGCAACCAGAACAAACCUCAUACGAAAAGUGUGAGGCCUUGGGUUCGAUUCCACCCUGUGGCU